UCGAACGGGCGUAGCAAUACGUCAGUGGCAGACGGGUGAGUAACACGUGGGAACAUGCCCUUUGGUUCGGAAUAACUCAGGGAAACUUGAGCUAAUGCCGGAUAUGUCCGAGGCAACUUGGAGAAAGAUUUAUCGCCUAAGGAUUGGCCCGCGUCUGAUUAGCUAGUUGGUGGGGUACUGGCUCACCAAGGCGACGAUCAGUAGCUGGUCUGAGAGGAUGAUCAGCCACAUUGGGACUGAGACACGGCCCAAACUCCUACGGGAGGCAGCAGUGGGGAAUAUUGGACAAUGGGCGCAAGCCUGAUCCAGCCAUGCCGCGUGAGUGACGAAGGCCUUAGGGUUGUAAAGCUCUUUUGCCUGNGAAGAUAAUGACGGUACCAGGAGAAUAAGCCCCGGCC
rnacentral:rRNA from 1 species